rnacentral:rRNA from 1 species
GAUGAACGCUGGCGGCGUGCCUAACACAUGCAAGUCGAACGGAGUCGUUUUGGAAAUCUCUUCGGAGAUGGAAUUCUCGACUUAGUGGCGGACGGGUGAGUAACGCGUGAGCAAUCUGCCUUUAAGAGGGGGAUAACAGUCGGAAACGGCUGCUAAUACCGCAUAAAGCAUUAAAUUCGCAUGUUUUUGAUGCCAAAGGAGCAAUCCGCUUUUAGAUGAGCUCGCGUCUGAUUAGCUAGUUGGCGGGGUAACGGCCCACCAAGGCGACGAUCAGUAGCCGGACUGAGAGGUUGAACGGCCACAUUGGGACUGAGACACGGCCCAGACUCCUACGGGAGGCAGCAGUGGGGAAUAUUGCGCAGUGGGGGAAACCCUGACGCAGCAACGCCGCGUGAUUGAAGAAGGCCUUCGGGUUGUAAAGAUCUUUAAUCAGGGACGAAACAAAUGACGGUACCUGAAGAAUAAGCUCCGGCUAACUACGUG